rnacentral:rRNA from 1 species
GACGAACGCUGGCGGCGUGCUUAACACAUGCAAGUCGAACGGAAAGGCCCUGCUUUUGUUGGUUGCUCGAGUGGCGAACGGGUGAGUAACACGUGAGUAACCCUCCCUUUACUUUGGGAUAACUUCAGGAAACUGGGUUUCAUACCGGGUAUGAGCUCCGGCUGCAUGGGGGGGGUAGGCAAGUUUCGGCGGUUGGGGAUGGACUGGCGGCCUAUCGGCUUGUUGGUGGGUUGGUGGCUUACCAAGGCUUUGACGGGUGGCCGGCCGGAGGGGGUGACCGGCCAAAUGGGGACUGAGAUCGGGCCAGAAGUCCUACGGGGGCAAGAAGUGGGAAUUAUUGCACAAUGGGCGAAAGCCGAAGGAAGCAACGCCGGGUGGGGGAUGACGGCCUUGGGUUUGUAACCGGCUUUCGCCUGGGACGAAGCGUGAGUGACGGUAAUGGGUAAAGAAGCACCGGCUAACUACGUG